UUAAGGAUGUACUUAGGUGAGGUUAGGUGAAAAUUAAUGAAUUAAGAAGUUAAAAUUGAUACUAUAAGCUGGUAGAGCAUCAAUUAAGGAUAAACAUAAGCUAAAAAAUACUGAUAGGUCAUGGAACUCCUUUUCGAGAUAUUUGAGAAUUAAAAUAUGGCGGGAAAAGGCUGACUCGGACUUUUACCUUAUAUUUGCAUUAGUAUUAUUGGGUCUCAAAACAAAAGAAAGAAAAUUGAGAAUCUUCUAAAAUUUUGGUAAAUAACCUUUCAUGAGCUAUUAAGUCUUAUGUGAAAAAAUAAAUGGGUGUUAUGGGGCAAAAUAUUUUACAUUGUAUUGUAUGGAAAAACACCAAGGAGUCCGAACAUUU
rnacentral:lncRNA from 1 species